UACGUAGGGUGCAAGCGUUGUCCGGAAUUAUUGGGCGUAAAGAGCUCGUAGGCGGUCUGUCGCGUCGGCUGUGAAAACCCGGGGCUCAACCCCGGGCCUGCAGUCGAUACGGGCAGACUAGAGUGCGGUAGGGGAGACUGGAAUUCCUGGUGUAGCGGUGAAAUGCGCAGAUAUCGGGAAGAACACCCGUGGCGGAGGCGGCUCUCUGGGCCGAUACGUGACGCUGAGGAGCGGAAAGCGUGGGGAGCGAACAGGA
rnacentral:rRNA from 1 species